rnacentral:rRNA from 1 species
GACGAACGCUGGCGGCGUGCUUAACACAUGCAAGUCGAACGGAAAGGCCCUGCUUUUGUGGGGUGCUCGAGUGGCGAACGGGUGAGUAACACGUGAGUAACCUGCCCUUGACUUUGGGAUAACUUCAGGAAACUGGGGCUAAUACCGGAUAGGAGCUCCUGCUGCAUGGUGGGGGUUGGAAAGUUUCGGCGGUUGGGGAUGGACUCUCGGCUUAUCAGCUUGUUGGUGGGGUAGUGGCUUACCAAGGCUUUGACGGGUAGCCGGCCUGAGAGGGUGACCGGACACAUUGGGACUGAGAUACGGCCCAGACUCCUACGGGAGGCAGCAGUGGGGAAUAUUGCACAAUGGGCGGAAGCCUGAUGCAGCAACGCCGCGUGCGGGAUGACGGCAUUCGGGUUGUAAACCGCUUUCGCCUGUGACGAAGCGUGAGUGACGGUAAUGGGUAAAGAAGCACCGGCUAACUACGUG